AGCCUGGUCUACAAAGUGAGUUCCAGGACAGCCAGGGCCAUACAAAGAAACCCUGUCUCAAAAAAACCAAAAUAAAUAAAUAAAUAAAUAUUUUUUUCUAAUAUAGACCCUUUCCUCAAACUGUAUCCUGGAUUUUCAAAAGAUAGGCCUGGAGUAUAGUAUAGAGCUCCACACUGAUAGGAGUUGUGCUUUUGUUGAUGUGACUGGACAUCCCUGUGUGCACAAAAGUUCCAUCUUUUUUGCAGGUUCUGUUCUACUAUGAGGUACCCAACAGAGGACCCAGAGGGGAAGUACAGCUUGUGGUUUUCUGACACAUUUAAAAUAAGCAAAGCAACAUACAGCCCUUAAGUCUUCCAAACCGUAGCUAUAGCUCCCUUUAUUGGUGAUGUCUCAGUGCAUAUAAAUGGUAUUUUAUGCUGAGAUGCUCAGUGCUUAGCACACUGUGGGCACUUACUUUCUUCUCUCAUGGCUGUCUGUCACAUGUAAAUAGACCCUAAUCAGGACAGUUCAGUGUAUGAUAUUUUACCUUUACAACAGUGCAAAAGUGUUAUGCAUAUAUUAAGUGUACUUGAGAUUUGGAAUUUGGGUCUUUCACUUGUUAAUAACAUGUAGCAUAUUCCUCAUGUAAUGUUAUGCAGCAACUGAGAGUUGUAGCGUUCAGUUAGCCCCACUCUACUAGAGAAAACGAGGCAGCUCAAUGACAGGUUGUUUUGUUUAGCUGUAGUUUCUGUGUUCAAUUAGUAAAUGAAAUUCUGAGUUACUUUUCUUUUUCUUUUUUCUUUUUUUUUUUCUUAAAAUAGCAUUGUCAGUACAGAACCUCAUCAGAUGUCAAGAAACAUUGGCAUUUGAGGGUUAUUAGUAACAUCUUUAAUCUCUUCCACUACCAAGGUGAUUUCUGACCUCUCAAAGGACAGGCAUUAUGGCUUGGUUUUCAGAAUAGUCCAUAGACUUUUACUCCUACUCCUCGCCUCCUUCUUUGUCAUAUUGCUGCAGGAGUGCUGACAGGGGUUAAAUACAUGCAGGACCAGGAUUGGUGCUAUUAACUUGUGCUCUGUAAUGCUUUUUUGUUGCAUAGAUUAACAGUCCAGUUUCUGAAAAGGAGGUCUGGUUCCAAUACCAACAAGUAUGUCUCUGGCCUUUGUCACAGAGAAUUAGGGCAAGAUCAGAGGAUAUACAUGUUGUGGGUAAAUAAGUGCUAUAGAGUCAAAAACAUGCCUAUUUUAUGUAUAGAAGACCAGUCACUGGAUAUUAUAUGGUGGAUGUAUAUAACUAUGAAGAUAGACAAUAGAAAUUUCAUCAGCCUUAUAAUCUAUGUCACAUCUUCCACUCAUUUUGAACUUAGGAAAUUAUAUUCUAUCUAUAGCAAGCUUUUUUUUCUUUUUUCUUUUAUUUGUUUUGAGAUAGAGAGCUGGCCUUAAACUAACUAUCUGUGUAGACCAAUUUGUUCGUAAGCUUACAAACAUCUAUCUGCCUCUGGGCCUCUGAGAUUAAGGGCACAUACCACUAUAUCCAGCUAAAUUGAAGCCUUUUAAUGAAUGGGACUUGUUUCCUUCUGAGAAUCAUGGAAUCUUUAUUGGGAAAGGACAUUGUAGCCCUCUGAUAUAAGUUCAGAUUUUAUGUAUUAUUUGAUAAACAGAUGAUUGGUUCAUCUUUGUUUGAAUACUUCCAAUGAUUUGAUAUCAUUUUCCUUCCCAGGAAUCUUUCAUCCUAUUUAGAACCAAUCAGAGUUGUUUGCUUUGAGCUUCAUCUUUCUGAUUCUGUACAUUAGGUCAUGUACUACUGAACACCUAGUGCAAAUAUAUAUUUGAUUUAUCUGAAAACACUGUCACUUUCUACAUUAGAACAUGAGAACCUGUGAACAAGGACUGUAACUCAGCUCUGUGCUCGCCUGUUAGAGUGAAACAUGGUUCCAAAUCACCUCUUAAAUGUUCUGUCCCUCAGGCUCUGCAGAAUUAAUCCAGUCCUCUGCCUUCUCAAAGACUUGGCAUAUCUACCACAUUCUCUCUUCUCCCUUAUUACUUUUAUUUCUUGAAGCAAAACACAAAGGACAUUGUACAGACUUGUGAUACAACUUAAAUACGUCUUUGAGCUGUGUUUUCACAAAUGGCUUCUAUCAUCCAUUUUCUCUCUGUCUCAUAUCUCUCUGUGACCGUGGAUCUUCAUGCCGCAUUUGUUACAAUUUUUCCUGAGCUGUAUAUGCCCUUUCUCAUCUGGAAAAAUCAUGGAUCUGAGUUCAGAUAUUUACUAAACUCAUUUAAAGCUAUUCAGUGCCACAGACUGGACUCAGUGGGUCCCUCAACCCGCAGGGAAAUUCAGGGUCCUGUUUCUCAGGUGGACAAGAAGUUGGCGGGGUGACAAACAGAUGCAAACACAAGGGAGUGUUAAUCUGAAUGUAAUUUCUCAAAGUGAGCAUCAGACUUAUAGAAGAAAACAAAGAAGUUAGGUGACACAUCAGCCAAGGUACUUUGUCUGACACAAAACAGAGAAAUGUGUACAUGCAGAGUGGCAGGAACUAGGCUGUGGUUACAACUGAGAUUAAAGGCAGGCGUCCCUUUCUAAAGUCAGCCAUUAGGGAGCCAGGUGAGGAUUUCACACCUGUCAUCACCUGUGCUAUUCCUCUGAGCCUUGUGAAAGCUUGCACCAGGGGGUUCUGCUCUUGCUAACCUUUUCAUGAAUAAUGCAAUACUGUUGUAGUUCUUCCUUAAACCACAAACCUGCUUCUUCCUAGGCCUUUGUAAAUUCCUGCAUAUGAGAGUGACUGUAAUUCUAAGUUUACUUUGUAGAACUUGCCCUGAGAUUUCUAGCUCUUACCCAGUAAACUGCAAUGCCUGAUUUCUUUCACUGUCUAUCAACACUGGAGGCAUUACAUCGGAAUAAGUAGCAUUACCUAUAAUAUAACACUGACUAUGGCAAGGACAAAUCUGGAGCAUUUGUGUUACUGGAUGCCAAGGCUCCAGGAGAAAAGUUUCCAUGAAACUUUUUGCCUCAGGCCUGCAUCCAAGCUUUUGGGCUAGCUGCACAGACUUCACUGGAGUGGGUGUGGCAAUUCAGUACCUGAAAAUACCUUGGUUCCAUCUUGAGCACUGACCAGCUUCUCAUUCUGAGUACUUGUGAUCAUCCCCACGAUCAUACCUCAGCUAUGUGAAGAGUGAAAUGCUUCCAUGUGCCUGAUGGCCCUAUGGCUUCUCAAAACCUUUAUCGUAUUAGUGAAGCAUUAAUU
rnacentral:lncRNA from 1 species